AAGUCGUAACAAGGUUUCCGUAGGUGAACCUGCGGAAGGAUCAUUAACACGUAUCCAACGUAAAAAACCCCCCUGUGAACAUUCAAACCUGCUCUCGUAGCCCAGUGUGAUCCCCGGUAAAUCAUUGUCGAACAGUAUUGAUUCGGGACUUCUGACAAAGAUAGCUGUGUCUGAAAGUGUCAUUGAUUGUCUAAGGAUCUCGCCUCAACGAUUGCCAGACGUCGCUCAAUGCAACCGGGUCCCCACGCCCCUUUACAACCCCAUUACCUCUGUGAGUCGCGGGAAACUAGCGGCUAAAAAACCUCGAACAACUGUUAACAAUGGAUAUCUUGGUUCUC
rnacentral:misc_RNA from 1 species